rnacentral:rRNA from 1 species
CCUACGGGGGGCUGCAGUGAGGAAUAUUGGUCAAUGGACGAGAGUCUGAACCAGCCAAGUAGCGUGAAGGAUGACUGCCCUAUGGGUUGUAAACUUCUUUUAUAUGGGAAUAAAACGUUCCACGUGUGGGAUUUUGUAUGUACCAUAUGAAUAAGGAUCGGCUAACUCCGUGCCAGCAGCCGCGGUAAUACGGAGGAUCCGAGCGUUAUCCGGGUUUAUUGGGUUUAAAGGGAGCGUAGGUGGAUUGUUAAGUCAGUUGUGAAAGUUUGCGGCUCAACCGUAAAAUUGCAGUUGAAACUGGCAGUCUUGAGUACAGUAGAGGUGGGCGGAAUUCGUGGUGUAGCGGUGAAAUGCUUAGAUAUCACGAAGAACUCCGAUUGCGAAGGCAGUUCACUGGACUGCAACUGACACUGAGGCUCGAAAGUGUGGGUAUCAAACAGGAUUAGAUACCCUUGUAGUC